rnacentral:rRNA from 1 species
GUUCGUGGAGUGAUCUGUCUGCUUAAUUGCGUUUCAUUACGGGUUAAACACUCUGCAUUGGCGUCCGCUGUUCGGUCGGGCAACCCCUGACUUUGAACGCAACGUUAUGUAGGUUAAACACCCGGAAAGCAACGAACGUGACCGUAACCUCUUGUUGCCUUGAUUUUCGGAAGACGCACAAGGCUUGCUUUGUGUUGUCCUUCCAUUCAAAGAGGCCUUAAAACUAGAGGGACCGCUGUCUUGAUUUCUUAAACCAGAGGAAGAUUGCGGCAAUAACAGGU